GUUUAUGCCAUCUGCAUGUUUUAGCUACUUUUCUCAUUUAUUCUCUUUGAAGGUGGAGAAGGUAUUGUUCCCAGGAAGUCAGACUACCAAAAUGUAUUGCUUUUUCAGCAAUGGUGGCGUGGUAGUGAUUUGGCUUCUACCACAUGGAAGAUGCUGGACAGUAGAUAGGCUGAUAGGCAUGAUUUUCAGGACAACUGUGAUUGUUGUUAUGUGCUCAAGGCAGGGAGAUAGUGGAAAGUUUCUGAUUGCUGUGUAAACGACCAAUUACUGCAAAGGGUUAAAGAAGAGUUACUGAAACUUUCUCUUGGGACUCCCUUGCAAGAUACGGUAUGCUUUAUGUCAUUUGGUAAUUUUAUGCCCGUAUCGAGUAUGAGGUUCUCAUGAAU